rnacentral:lncRNA from 1 species
CAGGCACCGUAUAUUUGUUCUGUGAUUGUAGAACCUACAAUCUCCUUUCUGAUAAAGGAAUCCUACUUGUUUCCAUAGAGUAUGACGUCCUCAAAAUAAACUUACACAGAACAUAAUUCGAUUUUUUAAAGUGCUAUAUAUAAAGCAGGUCUCCCCACAGAGAUCAAAGGCCCACUUCCUGCCCACAGUACACGGGGCUGUAUCUAUUUGUCUGCGGAGAUAAGAAGUUCCAAUAUCUGAGCAGAACUAAUUUCAAAGCCUGCUCAGCAGAAUUCUGAUAAAUGUCUUUUAAACGGCUCUGUUGAAAUGUGUAACAGCGCUGUCUUUUUUUUUUUUUUUUUUUUUUUUUAAGACAGGGUCUUGCAUUGCAGCCACUGGAAAGCUUUAUGCCUUAGGGGUGGAAUCACUGGGUGGUAGCAUGCUCAGGGUCAUAUAUUCCUACAACAUUUCAUUGUAUCCCCACUCACCUUGGAUAUUGUUUAUAUCCAGGUAUGUCAGGUGCUACUGGAGAGAAGAAAAAAUUAACAGGUUAUAGUCCUUACCUUCUGAAAUUUGUGGCAUAGUCUAGGAGCAUGAACAACACACAUACACACAGAACAAUUAUUGCGAGAUUAAAACUAAGAAUUUCCAGCCAAGUGCGGUGGCUCACGCCUGUAAUCCCAGCACUUUGGGAGGCCGAGGUGGGCGGAUCACCUAAGGUUAGGAGUUCAAGACCAGCUUGACCAACAUGGAGAAACCCCAUCUCUAUUAAAAAUACAAAAAAAUUAGCUGGGUGUGGUGGCGCAUGCCUGUAAUCCCAGCUUCUCGGGAGGCUGAGGCAGGAGAAUCGCUUGAACCCAGGAGGUGGAGGUUGCAGUGAGCCAAGAUCCUGCCAUUGCAUUCCAGGCUGGACAGCAAGAGCGAAACUCUGUCUCAAAAAAAAAAAAACAAAAAAACCCACACACCCAAAAAAAACUAAGAAUUUCCAUAAAGGGAAAAAAAAAGUGAAAGUAUAAGGAGAAGAGCAUCCACAGUCCCACCUAAGGAGAUCAGGCGACUCUAAUUGAGGCCAGGUAGGUGCUAGCACAGGCUGACACUCAGCGAUUCUGGACGGAGCAAAGGCAACACUGGGAAGUGCUUUGCCAUUCCCUUGAAGAGCUCACCUACCUUCUGCAGUCUGUUCUCAGCCAUGCAGAAUCAAAAACUUGUUUUUUUAAGUACUUUCUAUCAAUUAUUUUUAUUUAUUGUGUAAUCUGCCAUGUAUGAUUUUGAAAGUCCUUUUUUUUUUUCAAUGGGGUCUUGCUCUGUCACCCAGGCUGGAAUGCAGUGGUGCAAAUCACAGCUCACUGCAUCCUCGAGCUCCUGGACUCAAGCAAUCCUCCCGCCUCAGCCUCCCAAGAAGCUAUGACCACAGGCACAUGCCACCAUACCCAGCUAAUUUUUUAAAAUUUUUUUGUAGAGAUGGAGUCUUGCUCUGUUGCCCAGGA